UGGGGAAUAUUGCGCAAUGGGCGAAAGCCUGACGCAGCAACGCCGCGUGAGUGAUGAAGGCCUUCGGGUCGUAAAGCUCUGUCGGAGGGAACGAAUGCUCUUGAGGUUAACAGCCUCGGGAGGUGACGGUACCCUCAAAGGAAGCACCGGCUAACUCUGUGCCAGCAGCCGCGGUAAUACAGAGGGUGCAAGCGUUGUUCGGAAUCAUUGGGCGUAAAGCGCGUGUAGGUGGUCGAGUAAGUCGAAUGUGAAAGCCCCGGGCUCAACCCGGGAAGUGCAUCCGAAACUGCUCGACUAGAGUCCCGGAGAGGAAGGCAGAAUUCCCAAUGUAGGGGUGAAAUCCGUAGAUAUCAUGGGGAACACCGAAAGCGAAGGCAGUACAUUGGGCCACUCCUGACACUGAAACACGAAAGCGUGGGUAGCGAAUGGGAUUAGAUACCCCAGUAGUCCCUGAGCGGGCUGGCAAGGCGCAU
rnacentral:rRNA from 1 species